rnacentral:rRNA from 1 species
UACGUAGGUGGCAAGCGUUGUCCGGAUUUACUGGGCGUAAAGGAUGCGUAGGCGGACAUUUAAGUCAGAUGUGAAAUACCCGAGCUUAACUUGGGUGCUGCAUUUGAAACUGGGUGUCUAGAGUGCAGGAGAGGUAAGUGGAAUUCCUAGUGUAGCGGUGAAAUGCGUAGAGAUUAGGAAGAAUACCAGUGGCGAAGGCGACUUACUGGACUGUAACUGACGCUGAGGCAUGAAAGCGUGGGGAGCAAACAGG